GUGCUGAGUUGGGGGUGAUGCAAUGCAACGCAUAGGUGGAACCCGUUCUGUUAUUGAACCCUACUGCAAUUCCUCGUCGACAUUAUGCUCUGUUUUACCGAGAUGAGAACAAUAAUUUGAGAUGCACCGAGAGGACAAAACAUUGAAGAUAAAGCGUUCAAUUGACCUAACAAGUCUGCGAGUCUUGGUAUUCGGAAAAAAAAAGGAAUGGCUCGAAUCUCAUGUCUUCAACCAUGGACCUACUACUCAACAUCGCUCCGUCCCGAUUUCACACCGGCACGAACUCAUUGCCACACCGAGGGGGGCUAUUGUAGCUGCUGCAAUGCGAUUUAAAAUGAUAUCCGCUCAUAGAUUGUCUCCAGUGCAAGUCCUUGGCGAUCAACUUUUCUGAGUGAUCCUUUGACAUCUCAAGUAUUCGAGGGAGCCAUUGAAAUGAAGUUAGCCUAUAUGCUACUAAUUCAAUCUUCUCCCGCUUUCCCAGAUUCGUGUUGACACUGGCCCACAACCGAUGAGGAUGCAUCGAUCUGAGAAGAUAGAUGAUUGGAGAACAUCAUAAUCAUCAGGACACUGUAGCCAUGGUAACCAGCCAGCUGAAACGGUGAAAGAAAUUUUCUUAUCCCAUGACUCUUCACACUGAGUGACCCGAUCCAGUAGACAUCGUACACCACUCUUCAGCCGCAGCCUUUGAUCAUCAAGCAGUCUGCGAUGUGAAACAUGUGAAGCAAGCCAAGCAAGUCAAAGUUAUGUCUUUUCUGUAUGGUUAUAUGAAAUUUGUAAGAAAUUACGAAUUAUAUAAAUUAUUUCAUUACAUUAUGUACUGUACACUGAUUUUAGUUAUAAGAUCUAAGGGGAUGUUAUCAGUUACAUAAACAGAUUACUUUGGAAAUUCUAGAUAGAAAUUACCGUUAGAUCCCCCCUGCGUAUUGCGUAUACCAUAUUACCUUGGAAAGAGUUAUUCCCGAGUGCAACUCUUCCUAUCAUGUCACUACAGUUCUUUUAUGGGAUUUAUAAAACAUGAGAAUAUAGAAAGGAAGAGAAAAUAGAAAAAUUAUUCAUAUGAAUCAUAAUUCCAGAACGAUCAUAAACAUAAUAUCGCAUAGAUCAUGAGCUCAAUGUUUAGGGGCAUCUUCUAACGUUAUAAUUUUGUAGACUUUCUUGUGUAUGAAAGUGAAUUUCAUCGUUCUUCAUGGUAUAUGUAUAAGAGCGAGCUGAUUUAUCUCGGCAAAUAUCAAAAUAAUGAGCCAAGUAAAUGAUUCUGCGUAUGAUAAAUCGUCAUUUCGUUUGGAAUAGAAAUGGUUUCAGUAAAUAUAAAUCAUUUCUGAUCGACUAAGAAGGCCAAAUUACAGAUUUUCAUACAUUGAAAUAUAAGCAUACAUGAAAGAACUACACAAUGUUCGAUAGCAAGAGUAAAAUGAUAUCAAAAUUAUUAGUUUUUGAAAGGUUUAAUUGACUACUAGUUUACUUUUCCGUUUCAAAUUCAACAAAAUUUACCAUGUAAAGCAAAAUAUAAAUGACAUAUACGGGAACCUACUGGAAAGCACAAUUUGUUCAUGUGAGUUCCCUGCAAUAUGAUGGAUGAAGAGAUACGGAUCCCUUCAGGACUGAAAGUUCACAUAAAAGGGUUAACGACGACAGUGAGAAUAGGAAAAGUUUAUGAAUAUUAAAGAAGGGAAUAAAGAAAUACUUAUACGGAUGGGACACCCCUCCUACGCUGCAGCGAUAUGUUUCCUGACAUAUCUAAAGCAUUUUCUUUUCAUUAGCAUGCAGGGCAGUCAACUGCGCUAUUACUGCCCCGCAUCCUGGACAUCUUAGUUUGUAAUCAUGGAAAUGGCAAGAUUCUUUUGUGUGUCCAGAGCCCCGAAAAUUGAAAAAAAAAAUCGCCGAAUUGGGGACAGAUAGUCGUUGUGUCGACUAGCUUGCCUCUCACUCUCUUUUUGAUGCGUUUUGCAUACGUUACCUUUGGGUCUGUAGUUCUCUUGCAGCUCAUCAGCUGUUACGUCAAGGGGUACUGCGCCAAUACAAUUACACCCUUGGAACUAUUCCAGAGUUUUUACCUGUAUUCCUGCCCCAGUACAUUAGAAAACAUAAUAUAUUGAAAAGCGAUUGAGAUACAUUAAUAUAUCUUGAAGUUAAAGUUCUUGAUAAGGGAAAAGGUGUUCAAACUGUACUUUACCUAUAUAGUGUUGUCAUGUCGAGGAAUGCUGCUAUAACGAAAUCUUGAUUCAUGAAUAAUUUUUGAACAUCUGUGUUGAGUCUAGUUAAAUUAUCGAAAACACUUCUCUUUGGAGUGAAGUCAGAUUGAAUGGGGACAUCAAAUUAUGUUUCCAGUUCAGCUAAAAUCUUGUAGUUAUCAUUCUUUCCAUAAUUUUGCACAGGACCGAGGUUAGUGAAACCGGUUUAUAGGAUUUAGCAUCUGAUUUGUCUUUAUUUGCUUUUAAUAUUGGAACAACAAUUGAGGAUUUACAUUUUAGCGGCAAUUCAGAUGUUUUCCAUAUUAAAACGAAAAUACCUAGCAAUAUGAUGAUUGUAAUAUGGGGUAAAAUCUUCAUUAAUUAUUUCCAAAGUCAGUAUUAUUAAGCGAUGUCUCGUCGUCUAAUUCUUUUGGAUUAUGAAAGUUAUCUCCAAUGACAUUUGCCUUCAAUUCGUUAUUUUGAAUACUCUGCCCAUCAAUCUUUAGUGGAAGAUCGGAAAAUCUGCUUUUUGGUUUUUUUUUUCAAGCUCUAACUUUUUUUCACACCUCUGUAAGUGAGGUAGAUCUAUCAAUUGUAUCGCAAUAUUGUUCCCAAGAGUUCAUUUUGGCUUGUCUCAAAUUCGUUGUGCUACUGCCUUUUUAAAUUUAUAAUCUAAUCGGAAAAUUGCAAAGUUUUUUUAAUUUGCGAUUGGCUCUAUUACGUUUUCGAAUAGCAUCGUUGCAUUCUUUGGUCCAGCAUGAGUUUGUUAGGCGAGACGAUUUUCGAGAAUUAAUUUUGAGUAGAUAAUUCCAUUGCAUUUUCUAAAUUUUCUAUAGAAGUGUCAUAUGAAUCUUGGGUAGAACCCAUGAAUAAUUGAGUUUGGUUAAUAUUUUCAAUUUUUCUAAAUUUUAUAUAGAAGUGUCAUAUGAAUCUUGGGUAGAACCCAUGAAUAAUUGAGUUUGGUUAAUAUUUUCAAUUUUUUGUGUGUAGAUUUCCCAGUUUGUUUUAUGAACAGCUCAUGAGCGGUUUGGGGGUUGCGGUUUAUUUACAGUGACAUUACUCUCGUUCAUAUUAAUUUUGAUUUGGAUUACAAAAUGAUCACUAUACCCAAAGUAGUACCCUCCACCAGUCCUCCUACUGGCUCCUAGCAGCAAGUGCACAUGAAACCCUUGUUAGAUCGAGACAAGACAAUUUGCCAGUCCCGGGGUCAAUUCGUGUAUAACUCCCAUCAUUAUUUUAGUAAUACCAAAUUAUGAUCGGAGAUAAAAUUUUCAACAAUUUUACCAAUAUGAUCCCCAUUUGCACUCCCCAUAAAGGGUUGUGACUGUUGAAAUCCCCGCAUACAAUUACAUUUUGUUCACUAGCACAUACAAUCGAGUCAAGAUGAUUGGACCUCAUAGAUUUUGGAUUAUAAUAAAAGUUUUUAACUGUGUAAGAAGAGGAUCCAAUCGGCAUUUUUACUUGUUGGUCUUUUUCUGGAGGAGUAAAUAUAGUGAGAGGUGAGUUAUGUAGAAUUGUGGGUAUGAGAUUGUGGAGGAGUAGAAGUUUGGACAACCCGCCUUGUAGAUUAUAUUUUGGGGCGUUUGGAUUAAUAGGCAUUGUUUGGAGAUGCGUAGGUUUGGGGGGGAACAUUUCCUCCCGUUUGGAGUGCGUUGGCGUAGCUUAAGCCGUUUGUAAUUUUGGAGUUUUGGGGCAUAGAAUUUACUCUUUUGAGUGCUUCAGAAUAAGUUACGUUUUCUGUGUACUUUACAUUUUGUACACGUUUGGCUUUUUUAUAUGUUUCACAUCCCUGGUAUGCUGCGCUAUGGUGCUUUCCGCACCUUAGGCAGAUGAGGUCGUCCUUUUUUUUGACAAUUUUCGAGGGUAUGAUUUCCCAAACACAUCUUGUUUUCGAUCUACACGUUAAGGUAACCAAAACCUUGACAGUUUUGGCACCUCUGUACCGGUGGUACAUAUUUUGAUACUUUUUUGUAAUGUAUCCAAUGUGGACACUUUUUGGCAGCGCUUCGCUUUGCUUAAAAGCCAAAAAUUGUGGCGGUGGUAUCGAUGAGUUCGCCAUUCACACGUUUUUUUAUUCUUUUAACCAUGAGAGUUAAACUCAUCAAGGAGCUCCUCGUCCGUAACUGAUUGAGUAAUGCCUGUAAUUACUCCUUUUGCUGGCGGGUUCUGUGUCCAAAUAAAAGUUUUUAGAUGCAUAUUGUCCAGGCUGUCUAGGUUUAAGGCUCUUUUCUUCUGUCUUUUGCCUUUCGUCUUUGCAUUUCAAGAGGAUACAACGUCCCCAUUUUUUAUUUGCUUUGGUUCCCCUAUUUUCGAUUUGAUCUCGUUUGCCACAUGAAUAGGGUUUAGUUUGGAAAUAGAUUUGUGCUGCUCAAUGGGAGCAAGGCAAAUUGUUUGAAACAUGGUAUCAUUUGAUUGAGCCUCGCUCUUUUCUGGUGAGCUGUUGUUUCUCGCUCUCUUUUUGUUUGUGACGAUUCCGAACUCGUCGGAAUCAUCAACACCACUAGCCAUUUUAUGUGUGUCUUUUUAAGAUAUUAGCUGGGGAAGAGUUUAGGGGGGAGACUUCCAAUAACCUUGUCUGCAAGCUGGGUCCUGUAACCGGUAUCUCCGACGAUUGAUAAGCAGAAUUUGAUGCGAAGUGUACUGUGAGAACAGAAAGCCGAAAAUAAAUCACCAGAAGAGAGUGAAGAGUAUGAAGAGUAAGAAUGUCGCAGCAAUUUGGUCGUCGAGAGUGCGAGUGCCCAGUCCCAAUCGCCCUAUUUUCGCACCUUAGGCAGAGGGGGUAUUCCUUUUGGGGGCAAUUAUCGAGGGUAUGAUUACCCCCACACCUAACGCAUCUGGUUUUUGACACGUGUUUGUUUUAGGUGACCAAAACCUUGGCAGUUUUGCCACCUUUGUACCGGCGGUACGUAUUGGAUUUUGCGACCUUUUUGGUCAUGUAUCGAAUGUGGAUACUUUCUGGCAGCGCUUCGCCUUGCUUGAAAGACAAAAUGAUGGCGGUGGUGUCGAUGAGUUCGCAAUUUACGCGUUUCUUGAUUCUUUUUACGGCGGUCACUCCUUGAGAAUUAAGCUCAUCAAGGAGCUCCUCGUCCGUAACGGAUUGAGGAAUGCCUGUGAGAAAUGUGGGAUGCACAAGA